CACGUAGGGACCAAGCGUUGUCCGGAUUCAUUGGGCGUAAAGAGCUCGUAGGCGGUUCGAUAAGUCGGGUGUGAAACCUCCAGGCUCGACCUGGAGACGCCACCCGAUACUGUCGUGACUAGAGUCCAGUAGGGGGAGCGUGGAAUUCCUGGUGUAGCGGUGAAAUGCGCAGAUAUCAGGAGGAACACCAGCGGCGAAGGCGGCGCUCUGGGCUGGAACUGACGCUGAGGAGCGAAAGCGUGGGGAGCGAACAGG
rnacentral:rRNA from 1 species